rnacentral:rRNA from 1 species
UACAGAGGGUGCAAGCGUUAAUCGGAAUUACUGGGCGUAAAGGGCGCGUAGGUGGUUAUGUAAGUGAGAUGUGAAAUCCCUGGGCUUAACCUAGGAACUGCAUCUGAGACUGCAUAGCUGGAGUAUGAUAGAGGGUAGUGGAAUUUCCGGUGUAGCGGUGAAAUGCGUAGAUAUCGGAAGGAACACCAGUGGCGAAGGCGGCUACCUGGAUCGAAUACUGACACUGAGGCGCGAGAGCGUGGGGAGCGAACAGG